UACGUAGACAGCGAGCGUUGUUCGGAGUUACUGGGCGUAAAGGGUGCGUAGGCGGUUGUUUAAGUUUGGUGUGAAAUCUCCCGGCUCAACUGGGAGGGUGCGCCGAAUACUGAAUGACUAGAGUGCGGGAGAGGAUAGUGGAAUUCCUGGUGUAGCGGUGAAAUGCGUAGAUAUCAGGAGGAACACCGGUGGUGUAGACGGCUAUCUGGACCGUAACUGACGCUGAGGCACGAAAGCGUGGGUAGCAAACAGG
rnacentral:rRNA from 1 species